rnacentral:tRNA from 2 species
AAUGAAUUGCCUGAUAAAAAGGAUUACCUUGAUAGGGUAAAUUAUAAAGAUUUAAUACUUUAUUCAUUA